rnacentral:rRNA from 1 species
AACGAACGCUGGCGGCAGGCCUAACACAUGCAAGUCGAACGCUCGUAGCAAUACGAGAGUGGCAGACGGGUGAGUAACGCGUGGGAACCUUCCCAGUGGUACGGAAUAGCUCAGGGAAACUUGAGGUAAUACCGUAUACGCCCUUCGGGGGAAAGAUUUAUCGCCAUUGGAUGGGCCCGCGUCGGAUUAGCUAGUUGGUGGGGUAAUGGCUCACCGAGGCGACGAUCCGUAGCUGGUCUGAGAGGAUGAUCAGCCACACUGGGACUGAGACACGGCCCAGACUCCUACGGGAGGCAGCAGUGGGGAAUAUUGCACAAUGGACGAAAGUCUGAUCCAGCCAUGCCGCGUGGGUGAUGAAGGCCCUAGGGUUGUAAAGCCCUUUCGGCGGGGAAGAUAAUGACGGUACCCGCAGAAGAAGCCCCGGCUAACUUCGUGCCAGCCGCCGCCGUAACAC